rnacentral:pre_miRNA from 1 species
CUGGUUUUCACAAUGAUUUUCCAGAUGGUUAUGAUAUCUGAGAUCAUUGUGAAAGCUGAUU